rnacentral:ncRNA from 2 species
UUUUACUACUAGGGGAGCCCUAAUUUUGUGGGCUGAGAGGAAAGACAAAAUCUUUCUGACUCUUCGAACCUGAUCUGGGUUAUACCAGCGGAGGGAAGUAGGAGAGAUAACGU